CGCACGGGUGAGUAACACGUAUCCAACCUGCCGUCUACUCUUGGACAGCCUUCUGAAAGGAAGAUUAAUACAAGAUGGCAUCAUGAGUUCACAUGUUCACAUGAUUAAAGGUAUUCCGGUAGACGAUGGGGAUGCGUUCCAUUAGAUAGUAGCGGGGUAACGGCCCACCUAGUCUUCGAUGGAUAGGGGUUCUGAGAGGAAGGUCCCCCACAUUGGAACUGAGACACGGUCCAA
rnacentral:rRNA from 1 species